GGCAUCAAGACUUAAUUAAAGAUUUAUUGGUAAAAGAUGGCUAUGCGUCCUAUUAGUUAGAUGGUAAGGUAACGGCUUACCAUGACUUUGAUAGGUAGGGGUCCUGAGAGGGAGAUCCCCCACACUGGUACUGAGACACGGACCAGACUCCUACGGGAGGCAGCAGUGAGGAAUAUUGGGCAAUGGAGGCAACUCUGACCCAGCCAUGCCGCGUGAAGGAUGACUGCCCUAUGGGUUGUAAACUUCUUUUAUACAGGAAGAAACACUGGUAUGUAUACCAGCUUGACGGUACUGUAAGAAUAAGGACCGGCUAACUCCGUGCCAGCAGCCGCGGUAAUACGGAGGGUCCGAGCGUUAUCCGGAAUCAUUGGGUUUAAAGGGUCCGCAGGCGGUCGAUUAAGUCAGAGGUGAAAUCCCAUAGCUCAACUAUGGAACUGCCUUUGAUACUGGUUGACUUGAGUCAUAUGGAAGUAGAUAGAAUGUGUAGUGUAGCGGUGAAAUGCAUAGAUAUUACACAGAAUACCGAUUGCGAAGGCAGUCUACUACGUAUGUACUGACGCUGAGGGACGAAAGCGUGGGGAGCGAACAGGAUUAGAUACCCUGGUAGUCCACGCCGUAAACGAUGGAUACUAGUUGUUGGGCAUUAGCUCAGUGACUAAGCGAAAGUGAUA
rnacentral:rRNA from 1 species